GUGAACGCUGGCGGUAGGCCUAACACCUGCCAGUCGAACGGCAGCACCGUAAGAGCUUGCUCUUACGGGUGGCGAGUGGCGGACGGGUGAGGAAUACAUCGGAAUCUACUUUUUCGCGGGGGAUAACGUAGGGAAACUUACGCUAAUACCGCAUACGACCUACGGGUGAAAGCAGGGGAUCUUCGGACCUUGCGCGAUUGAAUGAGCCGAUGUCGGAUUAGCUAGUUGGCGGGGUAAAGGCCCACCAAGGCGACGAUCCGUAGCUGGUCUGAGAGGAUGAUCAGCCACACUGGAACUGAGACACGGUCCAGACUCCUACGGGAGGCAGCAGUGGGGAAUAUUGGACAAUGGGCGCAAGCCUGAUCCAGCCAUACCGCGUGGGUGAAGAAGGCCUUCGGGUUGUAAAGCCCUUUUGUUGGGAAAGAAAAGCAGCAGGUUAAUACCCCGCUGUUCUGACGGUACCCAAAGAAUAAGCACCGGCUAACUUCGUG
rnacentral:rRNA from 1 species